rnacentral:rRNA from 1 species
AUUGAACGCUGGCGGCAGGCCUAACACAUGCAAGUCGAGCGGAUGAAGGGAGCUUGCUCCUGGAUUCAGCGGCGGACGGGUGAGUAAUGCCUAGGAAUCUGCCUGGUAGUGGGGGAUAACGUCCGGAAACGGGCGCUAAUACCGCAUACGUCCUGAGGGAGAAAGUGGGGGAUCUUCGGACCUCACGCUAUCAGAUGAGCCUAGGUCGGAUUAGCUAGUUGGUGGGGUAAAGGCCUACCAAGGCGACGAUCCGUAACUGGUCUGAGAGGAUGAUCAGUCACACUGGAACUGAGACACGGUCCAGACUCCUACGGGAGGCAGCAGUGGGGAAUAUUGGACAAUGGGCGAAAGCCUGGUCCAGCCAUGCCGCGUGUGUGAAGAAGGUCUUCGGAUCGUAAAGCACUUUAAGUUGGGAGGAAGGGCAGUAAGUUAAUACCUUGCUGUUUUGACGUUACCAACAGAAUAAGCACCGGCUAACUUCGUG